GGUUCAGGUUAGGGUUUUCAUUCUUUUGCAGAUAUAAAUAAGGGAGAGAGCGGAAGCGCCAGAAAGAAGAGUCGCCUUAGGCCGAGCGCUUCCCCCGUGAGGGAAGGGGUGGCGUGGUAUUCCACGAGAAAGGUUAAAAAGUUCGUGGCGUACGAUUACGCAUCGUGCGAUAGGCGCAUAUCACCAAUCUGGGCUUCCAGUGGCCGCUUUGCUGCUCUGAUUUGCAGGCUUAGCGAUGGAACCGCCCGACAUAUUCUUCUUCUUCUUCUUUUUUCUCUUAUUUUUAAUACUCUCCCUUGGCUUAUUUCAUCUCCCUUUUUCUUCGUUUCUUUUUAGAUAAUUUUCAAAAUUUCUAUGUAUCAUCUUCUUCACAUUUCUCUCCCCAGAUUGUGGUCAGAUUUUCUGGGUUUUAAGUUUUAAGACGUUUGGUAAUUUUUCUGAGGAGGUAAGUACGGUUUUCGCAAAUCCUUGUUAGUGUAAUACGUUUGGCUCUGUUUGGUUGCAAGGAAAAUGGAAGUUUUCAAAGCUAAUGAUGAAAUUUUUAUACUUAUUAAGUUAUUUAUUUAUUUUUAUUAUAUUUAAUGAUAAUAUUCUUUUUAUUUGUAAUUGUUGUUUUAUUUUACAAAUUCAUGAAAUUUUGGUUCAAGAUAAAGUGACGUGGUAAUGUGAAGAAAUGAUAAGAAAAUUCUCUUUAGUUUGGAAAGUUACUUCCUUCCCGUUCCUUUAAUUGGUUUGUAUCAAAUGGAGCCAACCUUGUUACAUAAGAAAAUACCUCAUGAAGCAGGUGAAGGGCGAUAGACGAAGAAUCAGGGAGAUUUGGAGCGAUUCAAAAGAUCUUGAGGAACUAAUUUCUGAUUACAAUAUCACUUCAUGGCCUUGGACCCUCCCCCUCCUUUUGAUGUGUUAAAGCUUUUGUGUAACAUUAUUAUUUUUUGUAGGCCCAGUGACGAAGUGGUACUAGGAUUUCAAUUUUACAAUUUCAUUUCGUACAAUAAUGUAUAUUAAAUGAAGUUUUUCCUUUUC